rnacentral:rRNA from 1 species
CACGUAGGGUGCGAGCGUUGUCCGGAAUUAUUGGGCGUAAAGAGCUCGUAGGCGGUGUGUCGCGUCGGCCGUGAAAACCUGCAGCUUAACUGUGGGCUUGCGGUCGAUACGGGCAUCACUGGAGUUCGGCAGGGAGACUGGAAUUCCUGGUGUAGCGGUGAAAUGCGCCAGAUAUCAGGAGGAACACCGGUGGCGAAGGCGGGUCUCUGGGCCGAUACUGA